UAAAUUAUCGUGACUGAGAACUAAACAACUGGAAAGGAUUUAUACAUUUUAGAUAUUGGUGAAAUCGGCUGAUGGCCUUAAUAUUUUGAUCUGACCCCUAAUUAACAGGUUUUCUGGUGUGGUCUGCUACCUACCGAAUAUCGGAGUAAUGAGAGUUAUCCCCCCUUUUUCGUUUUCAGUUUCCUGCAGAGAUAUAAAACCAGAAGGAGAAAUAUGGAAGAAGUUGUUGAUGGUAUGGAAAGAGUUGUUGACGCUGAACCAAAUGUGACAGGAAGAUUUGAAUGUAAUAUCUGCCAUAAAAUUAUUUUCUCAACUAAAGCUGUCACCUUACACAAACAGAAAUACCAUUCUACAAAAAUAAAGAGAAAGAGGGGUGUUUCUUCUAAACAAUGUGAACUUUGUUCAGCCAAGAUUAGAGUAUUAAAUAAUGAAUUAAGUCAAGACAAUUUCAACUUUCCAACAAUCUGUUUGAGAUGUAAGAAAAUGUUACAUGGGAAAGACAAUGAUGAAAUGAAUGAGAUAAUUGUCCAGAAAAGGGAAAGCCAAAUUCCUGGUUUUGCCUGUGUAGAAUGUGGUCGAUGUUUCGACAAAAGUGUUGGGUUACAGUGCCAUAUCAGAAAAGCUCAUUUAGACCCACAGUUAGUUUUUUAUUGUGAGGCUUGUAAAGUAACUUGUGCAACAAUUGAUGGACUGGUACACCACUUGCAGGUACAGACACACAAGAAAACCAAAAGGAAAAAAGCUCUUCAAUGUGAAGAGUGUGAAGCGUUCUUCUCCCGGGUGAGAAAAUACAAGGAACACAUUGCGGAUGUCCACAAAGAUAGAGAAAGUGUGGAAGGAAAUAACAAGAAUGAUAAUGGAAAGGAUAGUACAGAAAGUAAAUCAUUGUUAAAGCUAACAUGUUCUCUACCAAAAUGUGGAGCAAUAUUUUAUGAAGAAGACAAAUUUAAUAAUCAUCAACUUGUUCAUAUAUAUCAAUAUUAUGUAUGUAGGACUUGUCCGCAGCGUUUUAAAUAUGCUAAAUCACUUCAUAAACAUGAAGAAUCUGCACAUUCAGAUGAUAAAUAAAAAUUAUGAUCUAGUUUAAUUGGGAUUUAAAUGGCUUGUUCCCUGUAUACUUAGGAACAAUGUUUCAAACUUGAGUUAUAGAAGCCAAAGUUUCACAAAUUUUAAAAAAUUAGAAAAGGAAAAAAACAUAAGUGAUUUUUCAUUUUUUUUUUUGUGCCUCUUAGAGUAGUGUAGAGGGGCCUUUUCCCUGAAGGCGAAUAUUUUGCUCAAUCCAUUGGCAGAUGGAGCCAGUCAGGCCCUGUAUAUACAAAAUAUCCAGGAAAGGGUAAUUCCAGUUUUACUUGAAUAGCAUCGGUAAGAUACAAUGGUAAGAUUAAAUGAAAUUUGACAUUAUGGAAGAUCGGGGUGUAUCGGCCCGAAAAUUUCCUGAUCUGAACUCUACGUUCCUACAUACAUAUACAUUUUGAGCAAAUCAGUUAUAAUCAUGGAUUACAUCAGAAGUCUACUUUCAUUUGGUCACAUAUGCAAUGGAUGAAACUAUUACAGUUAUUGUAAAUAAUCAAGAUAACCUGCAAUGGGUUUUAUCUUUUGGGAUUAUCUCUUCAUGCUAUAAGGUAUUAUGGCCCUUAUAGCAUUGGGUCAUUCCAUGUCAAGUGGACCAAAUUUUGGCCAAUAGGGUAAUGAUCACAUCAAACGGAUGUUUGUGUGAAGGUCGACAAUCUGAUGUAUCAUUCAAGACCAAAAACAAAACUAUGGGUUUCCCGAGUUUUUGUAAACUAACAGUGAAGUUGGAGCAAAAUUAUACGCAAAUUUGGGCUUUUUGGGAAUAAAAUGAUCAUUUUCUGUUUCUCUGCUCGUGGGCGGUCAGGGAAGAAAUCACUUAAGCAUAAAACUUCUAACCACCAGAGGGUUGCAUACCAUGAUUUUGAUUGAAAACUUCCAACUCCCACCUUAACAUGUUUUAUGAUAUAUUUUGAAGAUUGUAUUGUUAAUGAUGACAAUGGUCAUCUUUUUGACUGCAUAGGUUCCACCCACCCCCACCACACAUUUUAUGCACAUAUGAGAAUUAAUAUCUUAGUCCCAAAGUGACAUAGUUUUGUUGAGUGGAAAAAAAAACCUCUUUGAAAUCUUUGACCUGUAUAACAUUCACAAGAUUAUACAAAUUUGAAAGUAAAUGGGACAACUCUGAACCAUUAAAUUAUUAUGAAUUUCAAAAUAAAUCAUCAUUAUUCCCCUAUGAACAAUCACAUAAAGUUUUAAAUCAAUACAAGCUUUAUCAGUCGAAAUGUAUACUGAAAGAUAACCCUGCAAUUUUAUCAGGAAUUUAUUCCUGUAUCUGAUUCACUAAUUUCACAAGGUCAAACAGGUUGACCAUAAUUUUGGGCGUAAAAAAAUGGUUGUUUUAGUGAUUACUCAACACUAACCAGGUCAUUUCAGGACUAACAUGGUAUAUUUUCAUUUCAAUAAUUCAGUUUCACCCUGGAUCUUUAUUAGUGCCUUCACCACCUAACUUUCUCACCAUAUUAUUAUAAAGAAAACAAGUACCAAGCAUUGAUAUAUUUUGAAUGUAUAUAUUCAGGUGAAAAAAAACAUUAAUAUAUAAAAUAUAAAUCUGUAUAUUUUUACAGAUAUCUGACCAACAAAAAUGAAAUACCAUAUAAACUUAUGGUUUGAUAGAUUUGUAAAUACUUUCAGUAACAAAACCUAUUAUAUGUACAUGAGAAGAUGAUACUAUAUGACCCUGCAUGGAAAUAUGAUAGCCUACAUAUUAGUU